AAUAAGAUAGCAAAGAAGAUGAGCAGAAGUGUGGGAAAGAGAGAGUUGUUGCUCCACAGAGGAUUCACCAUUUUGACAUAGAUUCUAUGGAUAUAGCUACUUCUUAGAUCUUGCUUUCGUUUUUGGAUUUGGAUAGACUCUAAUGUUCUUGGAAGAUUCGUAGACUUGUUAAAAUACUUCCACAUGUAUUAUUGUCUCUGUACUGUUUGACACGUGAAAUGUAUGUCUGAG
rnacentral:misc_RNA from 1 species